CCUACGGGUGGCUGCAGUGAGGAAUAUUGGUCAAUGGGCGCGAGCCUGAACCAGCCAAGUAGCGUGAAGGAUGACUGCCCUACGGGUUGUAAACUUCUUUUAUAAAGGAAUAAAGUGAGGCACGUGUGCCUUUUUGUAUGUACUUUAUGAAUAAGGAUCGGCUAACUCCGUGCCAGCAGCCGCGGUAAUACGGAGGAUCCGAGCGUUAUCCGGAUUUAUUGGGUUUAAAGGGAGCGUAGAUGGGUUGUUAAGUCAGUUGUGAAAGUUUGCGGCUCAACCGUAAAAUUGCAAUUGAUACUGGCAGCCUUGAGUACAGUUGAGGUAGGCGGAAUUCGUGGUGUAGCGGUGAAAUGCUUAGAUAUCACGAGGAACCCCGAUUGCGAAGGCAGCCUGCCGGGGUGCGACUGACGCUGAGGCUCGAAGGUGCGGGUAUCAAACAGGAUUAGAUACCCUGGUAGUC
rnacentral:rRNA from 1 species